UACGGGGGGGGGCAAGCGUUGUUCGGAAUUACUGGACGUAAAGGGCUCGUAGGCGGCCAACUAAGUCAGACGUGAAAUCCCCUCGGCUUAACCGGGGAACUGCGUCUGAUACUGGAUGGCUAGAGGUUGGGGAGAGGGAUGCGGAAUUCCAGGUGUAGCGGUGAAAUGCGUAGAUAUCUGGAGGAACACCGGUGGCGAAGGCGGCAUCCUGGACCAAUUCUGACGCUGAGGAGCGAAAGCCAGGGGAGCAAACGGG
rnacentral:rRNA from 1 species